UUCAGAUGCAUCAAUCAUUUGGCAAAUUCAACAGCCCUUGGUAUCUUCUCCUUUUGGUUCUGCAUGACGACUCUGUACCUGCCAUUUCCCUCUCGCAAGCUGUCACCAAUUACUACUGCAGAUAAGAUGAGAUCAUUGUACCAAAGCAAGAAACUGCCUCUCAUUGCCUUGUGUAGGCACUCAUCCCAAUGCAGUCACUAUGGGUUGUACACGCAGCCAAAAUUGAGAAAGGAGGGAGCACGGAAGAAAAGAUCACAAAAUUAUAAUGUGGUGUGUAAAAUAAGACAUGUCCCAUUGGAGUGCACAGAUAAAAACAGAUGGAAUAGAAUGGGCAGCAAUUCAAAUAAAUAUAACAACAUACAAAGCAGGCCUUCCGUAUAUUGUCGUAUGGAUUCAUGUCUUAGCACAAGGGACCAACCCCAGAGUGUCACCACAUUGAAUCACGCCCCCACUAGAGCCAUGUCUUGUUACAGAUGAGGAACGAGAACAAGGGGAGUGCUUUGGUCGGAGGCGGACGGGUGAAUCCGGAGACACCCACAGACACCAAGAGGCACCCUGAGGUGGCGGUGAGCGGACAGCAGAGCCCAGGGAGCAAGAGGAAAUGGAGAGGGGUAGAGGGCAGUGUCUCCUGAGGCCUAUGUGCUUGGCUGCCAGCGUGUGUAAAUCAGCAGCCAGCUCACAGCCGCAAUGAGAUCUCAUGGAGCACUUGAUUGCAGACUUAAAGGUUUUACUACAACUUUUGAUGGAAGGUCUUCAUGGAGAUAUAGUUGCCAGAAAUGUUCCACGCUGGUAUUAAACUCAUCUAGAGAAACGACCCGGUUCACGGCGAAACGGAGCAGUGGAUGAGCAGGAGAACAGGAGAAGCGCGUUUCCCUUCUGUUGUGAGACCAGAGACAUCUGGAAGGCACCACGGGCC